rnacentral:rRNA from 1 species
UACGAAAAGGAGCAGGUGUUAUUCAGAUUAACUGGGCGUAAAGGGCACGUAGGUGGUUUGUUUAUGUGUAUUAUUAAAAUUUGUAAAGCAUAACUUUAUAACGUAUUACAGACAACAAAACUAGAUUAGGUAGAGGGUAGUAGAAUUUCUAAUGUAAAGGUGAAAUUUGAUAAAAUUAGAGAGAAUACCAAUGCGUAAGCA